AUUGAACGCUGGCGGCAUGCCUUACACAUGCAAGUCGAACGGUAACGGGCCUUCGGGUGCCGACGAGUGGCGAACGGGUGAGUAAUACAUCGGAACGUGCCCGAUCGUGGGGGAUAACGAGGCGAAAGCUUUGCUAAUACCGCAUACGAUCUACGGAUGAAAGCAGGGGACCGCAAGGCCUUGCGCGGGCGGAGCGGCGGAUGUCAGAUUAGGUAGUUGGUGGGAUAAAAGCUUACCAAGCCGACGAUCUGUAGCUGGUCUGAGAGGAUGAUCAGCCACACUGGGACGGAGACACGGCCCAGACUCCUACGGGAGGCAGCAGUGGGGAAUUUUGGACAAUGGGCGCAAGCCUGAUCCAGCCAUGCCGCGUGCAGGAUGAAGGCCUUCGGGUUGUAAACUGCUUUUGUACGGAACGAAAAGCCUUCUUUUAAUACAGGAGGGUCAUGACGGUACCGUAAGAAUAAGCACCGGCUAACUACGUG
rnacentral:rRNA from 1 species